UCCGCAGGGGGUUUGCUAAGUCCGAUGUGAAAGCCCACGGCUCAACCGUGGAACUGCAUUGGAUACUGGCGAACUAGAGUAUGUGAAGGGAGAGCAGAAUUCCAGGUGUAGCGGUGGAAUGCGUAGAUAUCUGGAAGAAUACCGAUGGCGAAGGCGGCUCUCUGGCACAUCACUGACCCUCACGGACGAAAGCGUGGGUAGCAAACAGGAUUAGAUACCCUGGUAGUCC
rnacentral:rRNA from 1 species